ensembl:lncRNA
UAUUUGCAAUAUUGACUGAAAAUCCUUACGUAAUGCUAAUUUUGAUCUUUUUUUUCACUAGCAUGUUUUGGAGCCCUCAGACUUGAAGAAGGACAUAGCUACUAAAGUAGAUAAUGGUUAUUACACACGGCACGUUUUUAAAUGGUCUCCAGUGUGGACUGUUCAGCCAGUGAUGGAGUGAGUACAUUGAGGAAGAAGGUGUCAUUUGGAAUCCAGAACCAUUCCACAAGGAUGACUACCUGAUACAUGGUCAGAAUGCUCAAACUGAUGGCAUACCGAUGGCUUUCUCUUCCAGUCCCCUAAAAAAGUGUUGUCAGCCUGAGUUCCCCUGAUCUACCUACUCUCAUUUCCAUUCCCAAAGUCGUGACCUGAUUCUCUCACUUGGCUAUCACAGGGAGUUGAGGUGUCAGUAUGUGAGUACAACAAACCUAUUCAAUGAUGCAUAGGAAGCAAAGAAAAAUAGUUUUGUUUGCUGACUACUUAAAGUAUAGAAUGUUUUGGUUUUCAGUUGAUUUUGCAAAGCAGUAAAGACAUUUCUUGGUUGUUAAUUCCACAUGUAUUUUUUCCUCCUCUCUUACUAAGUGAAUUUCAAUGCUAAUUUCCUAAGAAAGCAAUUGAAUAAGUCUUAAUUUAAAGCUUGUACUAAUGAUAAUCAUAUAAGGUUCACUUCCUACCCCUGCCCCCCGCCCCCAACUUUUAAGUGAUAACGUAAGUAAAAUACCCAUUUCAAAUUUGUCUGGCAAAUGAGAGAAUCAGUAGUUUGCCAGUAUUUUUCAUUACUUUUCUUAGAAUUGUUUUUCCUUUACACAUUUAUAGUGCAAAAUAGCUCAGUGGUGCAGACUCAUACUAAGCUGAUCAACUUGCAUUUUGGUCUUCAUGGGAUUUACACAUUUUUUCACUCAACAUUUAUUAAAGGAACAAACAACAUUUUGGGCUAUACCAAACAUACCUUUAGCUUGACUAAGGGCUGAAUUUCAUAAAGGAACAAAAUAUAGAAUUCAUUUUCACAUACUUUAAAGUGUGACUCAUCCCUGUUGAACUUGUGAGACUCAAAGCUACGCCCAUGUCACUUAAUUUUAUGUCCUUCCCUGUUUACUGUGUCUGACCUUCAAGAUUUCGUGACUGAUGCUGAAAUGGAAGCCAGCCAUGCAGAAAUGUGGGGGAAAAUGAAUCUGAAGAAUGCACGGGGAAGUAGGAAUUCAUUUCUAGCGUUCCCAAACCUGCUUUGUCACGUCAGCUUCACUGCAGUCAGAGGAAAAGAACUGAGUUCAUGGAGAUUACCAACUAAACCUUACGUCUGUCCUUAAUGUUUUUAGGAAAUGUGCUGAAAAGGUAAGUGAGAUACCUGAUUUGAAGGAAGACUGUAUUAGGUAUUUUUAGAUGUGUUAGUAAAAAUGGAUGGCUUCUUUAUUCGGAGCUUCAGGAACCUUGCCCCCGUUUGGUGCGGUUCUCAGUGGUUGUGGAGAAGGUGGAGUUGUUCCAGCCAGCGUGAAGCUUUCCUCUACUUCCUGGCAGUCACGCUGGAACUGGCACUGAAGUGUACAGAAUGCCGGUUUUUGUUGCUUUGUCCUCAACUCCUCUCAAAAUAUUUUCAGUCGAGUUUUAAUUUUACCCCUUAAACUAUAUAGAAAAAUCUUUAAAAUGCUUCUAAGUUCCUACCAGAACUAUAUUUGCAUUGUAUAUAGUCAAACAAGAAUAAAAUAAUGGGUUUUAUAGGUCUCUGUUAACCUCACCUACAUUGAUUUUAUAGAUAAUUUUAAAAUUACUGAGGUUACAUUGUUCCACGUUUAUUAAAUCUCUGUGUAAAUUAGCCUUAUGCCAGACCCGGAGUAAAACGAUGGAAUAGCACACAGUUCAAGUACUCAGUAAAUUCAUCUUUAUUGAUAAAAUAGUUAGAAUUUUAGUUUUGGGAAUCCGAAUCUAAUAAAAUGAGACUUAAUUCCAUUUCCCAAUCAAAAAUCAUCUGUAGCUUGCAAUUUAAAUAUGACAAAUUGUAUUUGAAAGAUCCAGCGUUUAUGUUUGAGAGAGACAUUUACUAAAUACUUUCUAUGUUCCAGGUACUGUUCUAAGCUCUUUACAUAUUUAUUUUUUAAUCCUUAUAAUUGUCCUGUAAAAUGGGUGCUAUUACUAAAAUCCGUUUUAAGUCAUUAAGGCAGAAAAGCUAAUUACCUUAUUCAGCUUUGUACAGCUACGACCUAAAACCAGUAUGUGAACCCAGACAGGCUGAUUGUGCCUGGACUCUCAAUAUGGGCAUGAUAUUUAUAUGCGGUACCUGGCUAGGAGUACCUGCAAGAUAGUCCAGAUUCUGAAUAAAACUUGGGUAGUUUUAAAAGAGAAAGUUUCAGUAGCAUAGAAAGACUAUAGAUGAUAGUUACCAAACUUUUCGGAGAGCCAAAAAUUCCCUGUUUUUAACUCUUGGCUCCAGGACAGCCAUUUAGCAUGAUGACUUCGCCGCUGCCUUCUUCCCCUCCUGCCACUCCGUGCAGUAGUGUGCUUGCGCACACACAGUUUCAAGGGCUGCAGAGGAGAAGCAGAGCUUAUCAACAGUUACCUGUUAGGUUCACGACCUAUUUUUGCUUACGUCCAGUCCUCUUUUCUUUUGGGAAUGUGGACAUUUUUCUUUAGCUGCCAGAUCAUGAGAAAAUAUGACUGCUGAGAUUUUUUGCUAGGAUUCUUUUAAAAAAUAGAUCAGGCUCUGUACAUAGUAAAGAAAAACUCAUGAGGACUCCAGGUAGGUAAUUUACUUCUAUUGUAUGUAUAGUUUCUUUGAAGCCUCUGCACCUCUAUCCUGUUUUACAUUUCUGUAAAUCUGAUUUGACC